UGGGGAAUUUUGCACAAUGGGGGAAACCCUGAUGCAGCGACGCCGCGUGAUUUAGAAGGCCUUCGGGUUGUAAAAAUCUUUUCUAUGGGAAGAAAAUGACAGUACCAUAGGAAUAAGGACCGGCUAAUUACGUGCCAGCAGCCGCGGUAAUACGUAAGGUCCGAGCGUUGUCCGGAAUCAUUGGGCGUAAAGGGUACGUAGGCGGGUAAGCAAGUUAGAAGUGAAAUCCUAUAGCUCAACUAUAGUAAGCUUUUAAAACUGCUCAUCUUGAGGUAUGGAAGGGAAAGUGGAAUUCCUGGUGUAGCGGUGAAAUGCGCAGAUAUUAGGAGGAAUACCGGUGGCGAGGGCGACUUUCUGGCCAUAACCUGACGCUGAGGUACGAAAGCGUGGGUAGCAAACAGG
rnacentral:rRNA from 1 species